GAUGAACGCUAGCGGCAGGCCUAAUACAUGCAAGUCGAACGGUGUCUUCGGACAUAGUGGCGCACGGGUGCGUAACACGUAUGCAACCUACCUUACAUUGGGGGAUAGCCUUUCGAAAGGGAGAUUAAUACCGCUUAAGACAGUAGCUGGGCAUCCAGCAGCUGUUAAAGAUUUAUCGAUGUAAGCUGGGCAUGCGUCCAAUUAGCUAGUUGGUGAGGUAACGGCUCACCAAGGCAAUGAUUGGUAGGGGAACUGAGAGGUCAAUCCCCAACACUGGCACUGAGAUACGGCCCAGACUCCUACGGGAGGAAGCAGUAGGGAAGAUUGGGCAAUUGACGCAAGCCUGACCCAGCCAUGCCGCGUGCAGGAUGAAGGCGGUAUGCGUUGUAAACUGCUUUUAUACAGGAAGAAACGACUCUUGCGAGAGGCAUUGACGGUACUGUAUGAAUAAGCACCGGCUAACUCCGUGCCAGCAGCCGCGGUAAGAC
rnacentral:rRNA from 1 species